rnacentral:rRNA from 1 species
CCUACGGGAGGCUGCAGUGAGGAAUAUUGGUCAAUGGACGAGAGUCUGAACCAGCCAAGUAGCGUGAAGGAUGACUGCCCUAUAGGUUGUAAACUUCUUUUAUAUGGGAAUAAAAUGUUCCACGUGUGGGAUUUUGUAUGUACCAUAUGAAUAAGGAUCGGCUAACUCCGUGCCAGCAGCCGCGGUAAUACGGAGGAUCCGAGCGUUAUCCGGAUUUAUUGGGUUUAAAGGGAGCGUAGGUGGAUUGUUAAGUCAGUUGUGAAAGUUUGCGGCUCAACCGUAAAAUUGCAGUUGAAACUGGCAGUCUUGAGUACAGUAGAGGUGGGCGGAAUUCGUGGUGUAGCGGUGAAAUGCUUAGAUAGCACGAAGAACUCCGAUUGCGAAGGCAGUUCACUGGACUGCAACUGACACUGAGGCUCGAAAGUGUGGGUAUCAAACAGGAUUAGAUACCCCAGUAGUC